UACGUAGGGGGCGAGCGUUGUCCGGAAUUAUUGGGCGUAAAGGGCUCGUAGGCGGUUUGUCGCGUCGGGAGUGAAAUCCACUGGCUUAACUGGUGGCUUGCUUUCGAUACGGGCAGACUGGAGGUAUGCAGGGGAGAACGGAAUUCCUGGUGUAGCGGUGAAAUGCGCAGAUAUCGGGAGGAACACCGGUGGCGAAGGCGGUUCUCUGGGCCUGACCUGACGCUGAGGAGCGAAAGCGUGGGGAGCGAACAGG
rnacentral:rRNA from 1 species